CCUACGGGAGGCAGCAGUGGGGAAUAUUGGGCAAUGGGCGCAAGCCUGACCCAGCAACGCCGCGUGAAGGAAGAAGGCUUUCGGGUUGUAAACUUCUUUUCUCAGGGACGUAGCAAGUGACGGUACCUGAGGAAUAAGCCACGGCUAACUACGUGCCAGCAGCCGCGGUAAUACGUAGGUGGCAAGCGUUAUCGGGAUUUACGGGUUGUAAAGGGGGUGUGGGGGGGGAGGCAAGUCAGUUGUGAAAACUAGGGGCUCAACCGGGAGACUGCAUUUAAAACUGGGUUGCUGGGGUACAGGAGAGGUGGGCGGAAUUCGUGGUGUAGCGGUGAAAUGCGGAGAUAUUAGGAAGAACACCGAGGGCGAAGGC
rnacentral:rRNA from 1 species